rnacentral:rRNA from 1 species
GACGAACGCUGGCGGCGUGCUUAACACAUGCAAGUCGAACGGAGUGGCGAACGGGUGAGUAACCCGUGGGUGAUAUGCCUUGCACUCUGGGAUAAGCUGGGGCAACUGGGUCUAAUACCGGAUAGUGCAAGAGGAGCUCGCGGCCUUUCAGCUUGUUGGUGGGGUAAUGGCCUACCAAGGAGUCGACGGGUAGCCGGCUUGAGAGGGUGUACGGCUACAUAUGUUGUGAGAUUCGGCCCAGUCCCGUACGGGUGGCAGCAGUGGUGUAUAGUGCACAAUGUUCGGAAGCCUGGUGCAGAGGCGCCGCGUGGGGGAUGACGGCCUUCGGGUUGUACACUCCUUUCGACAGGCACGCGGUACAUGUAUAAGAAGCACCGGCUAACUACGUGCCAGCCGCCGCGGUAAUUC